rnacentral:rRNA from 1 species
GAUGAACGCUAGCGGCAGGCCUAACACAUGCAAGUCGAGGGAGAAGCCCUUCGGGGCAGAAACCGGCGCACGGGUGCGUAACGCGUAUGCAACCUACCUUUCACAGGGGGAUAGCCCGAAGAAAUUUGGAUUAAUACCCCAUAAUAUUAUUGGAUGGCAUCAUUUGAUAAUUAAAAUUACGAUGGUGAAAGAUGGGCAUGCGUCCUAUUAGCUAGUUGGAGUGGUAACGGCACCCCAAGGCUACGAUAGGUAGGGGUCCUGAGAGGGAGAUCCCCCACACUGGUACUGAGACAGGGACCAGACUCCUACGGGAGGCAGCAGUGAGGAAUAUUGGUCAAUGGUCGGAAGACUGAACCAGCCAUGCCGCGUGCAGGAAGAAUGCCUUAUGGGUUGUAAACUGCUUUUAUAUGGGAAGAAUAAAGGAGUACGCGUAC